UCGCCUGUUUAUCAAAAACAUGGUUUCUUGAGUUGUAUAUAAGAAAUUUAAUCUGCCCACUGAAGGAUUAUUUAAAGGGCCGCAGUAUUUUGACUGUGCAAAGGUAGCAUAAUCAUUAGUCUUUUAAAUGAGGGCUGGAAUGAAUGAUUGAAUGAGGUAAAAACUGUUUUAUAGUAAUUAAAUUGAAUUUAGAUUUUAAGUAAAAAUACUUAAAUAUUAUUAAGGGACGAGAAGACCCUAUAGAGUUUAAUAUAUAAAAUUUUAAUUGUGUUAAUAGUUAAUUUUUAAUUUUUAUUUAAUAUAUUUAAUUGGGGUGAUUAUAGAAUAUGAAAAACUUUUUUUUAUUUUAAAUAUUAUAAUUAAUUAAAUGAUCCAUAAAUUUUGAUUAUAAGAUUAAAUUACCUUAGGGAUAACAGCAUAAUUUUUUUUGAGAGUUCUUAUUGAAAGGAAAGAUUAUGACCUCGAUGUUGGAUUAAGAUAAAUAUUGGGUGUAGAUGUUUAAAUAUUAGGUCUGUUCGACCUUUAAAAUCUUACAUGAUCUGAGUUCAAACCGGAGA
rnacentral:rRNA from 1 species